GGCAGCGAGAGGCCCGCGCUGAGGCGGCGCAGCGCAAAGGGGCGGACGCUGAGGGCGGCCAGGGCGCGGCCGGCCGCCGGGAACUCGAGGCGCAGCGUGACGGCGGCGUGCAGCCCCACGGCCGGGCUGUAGCGCGUGAGCUCCACGAACACAGCGCGGCUCCUGCGCAGAGGGUGCGGGGUCUGGCUGGACUAAAGGCAAAACUAAAGCCCAGAAGACAGACCAGUGCACCGGAUGCCCGUACCGCGUGAUGGCCAGGAAGGCCCGGCUGUGCAGCUCCUGCUUGAUGGCGCUUUGCAGACGGAGCCAGUGACCACCGAGGCUGUGCCACUGCAUCGGGCCACCAUGCUGAUAUGCCCGGUCCCAGAGCUCCUAGAGAAGAGGUACAGAGGCAGCGAAGACACGUUGAGGGGGAGGACGAGACCCGAGUCCCGGGCUCUCGGGACGCUCUCCCGUACCUGCGCCCUCGUCAGCCCAUCACCGAAAGAACGGCCUGACCCAGGGUCACACUGCACUGAAUGCUUCCUGUUUUGCUAUCUCUCGGAGGAUAAAAGACACUCUUGGCUGGGCGCAGUGGCUCAAGCCUG
rnacentral:sRNA from 1 species